rnacentral:rRNA from 1 species
AUACGAAGGGGGCUAGCAUUGCUCGGAAUUACUGGGCGUAAAGCGCACGUAGGCGGGUGAUUUAAGUCAGAGGUGAAAGCCUGGAGCUCAACUCCAGAACUGCCUUUGAUACUGAUCAUCUUGAGUUUGUGAGAGGUGAGUGGAAUACCGAGUGUAGAGGUGAAAUUCGUAGAUAUUCGGUGGAACACCGGUGGCGAAGGCGACUCACUGGCGCAAUACUGACGCUGAGGUGCGAAAGCGUGGGGAUC